AAUAGAUACCCUGGUAGUCCACGCCCUAAACGAUGUCAACUAGUUGUUGGGGAUUCAUUUCCUUAGUAACGUAGCUAACGCGUGAAGUUGACCGCCUGGGAGUACGGUCGCAAGAUUAAAACUCAAAGGAAUUGACGGGGACCCGCACAAGCGGUGGAUGAUGUGGAUUAAUUCGAUGCAACGCGAAAAACCUUACCUACCCUUGACAUGGUCGGAAUCCUGCUGAGAGGCGGGAGUGCUCGAAAGAGAACCGGCGCACAGGUGCUGCAUGGCUGUCGUCAGCUCGUGUCGUGAGAUGUUGGGUUAAGUCCCGCAACGAGCGCAACCCUUGUCCUUAGUUGCUACGCAAGAGCACUCUAAGGAGACUGCCGGUGACAAACCGGAGGAAGGUGGGGAUGACGUCAAGUCCUCAUGGCCCUUAUGGGUAGGGCUUCACACGUCAUACAAUGGUCGGAACAGAGGGUUGCCAAGCCGCGAGGUGGAGCCAAUCCCAGAAAACCGAUCGUAGUCCGGAUCGCAGUCUGCAACUCGA
rnacentral:rRNA from 1 species